rnacentral:rRNA from 1 species
ACGUAGGGUCCAAGCGUUAAUCGGAAUUACUGGGCGUAAAGCGUGCGCAGGUGGUUUGUUAAGCACGAUGUGAAAUCCCCGAGCUCAACUUGGGAAUUGCAUUGUGAACUGGCUAACUAGAGUACGGCAGAGGGGGGUGGAAUUCCGCGUGUAGCAGUGAAAUGCGUAGAUAUGCGGAGGAACACCGAUGGCGAAGGCAACCCCCUGGGCUGAUACUGACACUCAUGCACGAAAGCGUGGGGAGCAAACAGGAUUAGAUACCCUGGUAGUCCACGCCCUAAACGAUGUCAACUAGUUGUUGGGCUUUUCGGAGCUUAGUAACGCAGCUAACGCGUGAAGUUGACCGCCUGGGGAGUACGGUCGCAAGACUA